rnacentral:rRNA from 1 species
UAUGUGAUCGUCUCUCGCAUAUCAAUAAGCGGAGGAAAAGAAACUAACAAGGAUUCCCCUAGUAACGGCGAGUGAAGCGGGAAGAGCUCAAAUUUGAAAUCUUAAAGGGUUUCCCUUUACGAAUUGUAGUUUAAAGAAGUGUUUUCUGUUGAGGUUUUGGUAAAAGUUCUUUGGAAUAGGACAUCAUAGAGGGUGAGAAUCCCGUAUUUGACCUUUACUUUCAACUUUGUGAUACACUUUCAAAGAGUCGGAUUGUUUGGGAAUGCAGUCCAAAAUGGGUGGUAAAUUUCAUCUAAAGCUAAAUAUUGGCGAGAGACCGAUAGCGAACAAGUACCGUGAGGGAAAGAUGAAAAGAACUUUGAAAAGAGAGUUAAACAGUACGUGAAAUUGUCAAAAGGGAAGCGUUUGACACCAGUGUUGUUUUUCUGAAAAUCAAUUAAAGAACUGUUUAUGCUAAGUUGUUUAGACUUUAUCAGCUAUCUGUUUAGUUUUGAGCUUUUCUUUAAUGCACUUUUCAGUUAACAAGUCAACAUCAAUUUCUUUUGCUGUAAAAAAGCUUGAGGAAGGUGGCUUGAGAUUCGUCUUAAGUGUUUAUAGCCUCUUGCCUAUGCAGUCGGAGAGAUUGAGGUCUGCAGCGUAGAUCCUUCGGGGCUAAAUGCAUUUGUGCUAAGUUAUAGCAUUUUAUAGACAACUUGUUGACUAUGAUUUGUCUUGUAGCUUACUCGCUUAUGUUAUUUUACCUACGCUUAGGAUGUUGAAGAUAUGCGCGACACG